CAGCGGGGGAAGUCCUGCUAGCGGUUCCCAGACCCGAGCCCUUUGCAUCCUCUCUGAGUCCCCCAUCUCCCCUUCAGAGCUCUCCCGUCGCCCUCGCGCCAAUCCCUACUCGCUUUUACCGCCUUCUAUCCCUCCACCCCCAGCAACGCUCAGCUCCCAAGCCUCUCCGCCGGCCUGCCCUGCGACCUCCGGUUCCCCGCUUACGGACCUCGGGGUCUCCGCUGCCACCGCCGCCGUCGCUGCCACCGCCUGCUGUGCCCAACCCGCCGCUCGCCUCUCUCUGCCGCGCCCUGGGACAGGCGCACGGAACUCGGCUCCGGCGGGCUCAGACCUCCCUGCUUGAUUCUCUCGCGCGGGGGUCUGUACUCCGCCGCCCGGGAUCUGCCCUGGAGUCGCUCUGUAGCCCCAGAGCUGCGGCGAGCGAGGUCUUGGCCGGGUUAGGGAGAAGCCACUGCGUUGCGCUCUGCCAAAAUGACCAUGGAGUUUCCGAUUAGGUCCACGACAAUGGUGAUAACCAUUGCGCAGAACAUAAAGAUGAUUAGAGCCGUGCAAACACCUGGCAAAGAGACAUAGAUUGCAGAGGGAGCGGGAGCAAGGGGUCUUUCAAAGGAUCUGGUUUCAGCCCAAGCCAGUCCGCAGCCCCCAGCAGGAUGUGGGGGACAGCCGGUGGCCCCUUAAACCCUAGAUGGUUGCCUCUGCAGUAUCCUUGUGAGAUCCAUCUCACACCCCAUGCCCUUGCCUGUCUAGAGCCUUCUGUGCCCCGCGGGGAACUGGGGACUACUGCUCGGAGCUCCCAACCCCAAUCUGGGUCCGUAAUCCCUAGGGAAGUUAUCCCAGCUCCUGUUCUCGCCAGGAGCCGCUUGGCUCCCUUACCGGCAGCCGGGAGGAGCCGCUUAUUCCGGUCCAGGUCUUGCACUCUCCAUAAAGAGAUGUACCCUGCGCCCAGCUCUGGAAGCAGGGAGCGGGUCUGCACCCUGGGACCCAGGGAAGGCAGCGGUGGCCACUCGGUCCUCAGCUUUGGGGCGAACGGGAGCGGAAGCUAGUCUCCUUCCCAGCUGCGGGCAGCCCAGCGGCGGGAGCCACGGGACGCUUUGGGAAAAAGUAAAGCAGGCAAUAAAGCUCUUUUAUUGGGCCCCCUCUUCUCGAGGAAACCCAGGACGAGAGGCUCUCACUCCGCUCCCCUCUCGAGGUGCGCUCUACUGAGCGGUACGGGGCAGUCAGGCAGGCUGAGGGAGCUGCGCUGCAGCUGUGGGAAUGGUGCGGAGGUGUCAGGCGGCAAAGCCAAUAAGCCGCUGGCUGACCGGCGACCCCUGCCUCAGUCAGGAUUCAUCUAGGUCUUUCCACUUUCCCAUCCCCUUCUGGGGUUCUCGUUUCGACCCCAUCCCUCUGAGGCCGCACCCAGCGCCCCGACCCCGCUGUCCACAAUGCGGAUCUCUGUUCCGGUGCGUCACGGUUACCCGGCGGUGCUCCCAGGAUCUCGCCGCACAGGGACCACGGAAAAUUCGAAUAUUUGGGCAAAACUAAAGGGGUGCGAUUCUGACACUCGUUCCUUCAACAACAAAAAUGCCCUUGGUCAUGGGAAAGCAUUUUUGCCGCCUGCUAAAAGUUAUGGCUACGGACGAGAAGCCUUCCAAAAUCUCAGUAAACACCUUGAAACUUGUUCCAGACUAGUCUUCUUGCCACAGUAGGGGACAGGGGGUUGCACUGGCCAGGAGCGCCAUCGUCUGGACACAGCCGCCCUCUUGCCCCGGGGUGGGUGGGGGGACGGACAAAGCAGGGUGGUAGGGGCCGGCUCCGCGACGGACUUCAACGUUAAACCCUUUAACGAAAAAAAAGAAAAACAGACACUGUUGAAAACCAAGAUUGCAAACACUGUCUCUAGCUAAAAAACCUAAAGUGGGAAUGUGUUCCCCUGUUUGAAAAUGAAGCCCCCUCCACAAUCCUGCGGCUUUCACUUCCUUGAACUGAAUCGGGCGCGAAUUACAAUGUCCAGCCUGGAGGCUUUUCACAUUCAUUAUCUCACUGCUCCUCGCUGGCUGG